AACGCACAUUGCGCCCUUUGGUAUUCCGAAGGGCAUGCCUGUUCGAGCGUCAUUAUCACCCCUCAAGCCCCCGGCUUGGUGUUGGACGGCCUGGUUUCGGUUCCCCCGAAACCCCUCCUAAAGUCAAUGACGGCGGUACGAGCACCCCCGGUACACUGAGCUUCUUCACUGAGCACGUAUCGGUCUCAAGGGUCUCGCGCCAACCGGUCUCCUGCGCGCGCCGUCAGGCACGCACAUCUUCUCAAGGUUGACCUCGGAUCAGGUAGGGAUACCCGCUGAACUUAA
rnacentral:misc_RNA from 1 species